CUGUGGGCGUGCGGGCGAUACGGGCAGACUUGAGUACUGCAGGGGAGACUGGAAUUCCUGGUGUAGCGGUGGAAUGCGCAGAUAUCAGGAGGAACACCGGUGGCGAAGGCGGGUCUCUGGGCAGUAACUGACGCUGAGGAGCGAAAGCGUGGGGAGCGAACAGGAUUAGAUACCCUGGUAGUCCACGCCGUAAACGGUGGGUACUAGGUGUGGGUUUCCUUCCUUGGGAUCCGUGCCGUAGCUAACGCAUUAAGUACCCCGCCUGGGGAGUACGGCCCGCAAGGCUAAAACUCAAAGAAAUUGACGGGGGCCCGCACAAGCGGCGGAGCAUGUGGAUUAAUUCGAUGCAACGCGAAGAACCUUACCUGGGUUUGACAUGCACAGGACGCUGGUAGAGAUAUCAGUUCCCUUGUGGCCUGUGUGCAGGUGGUGCAUGGCUGUCGUCAGCUCGUGUCGUGAGAUGUUGGGUUAAGUCCCGCAACGAGCGCAACCCUUGUCCUAUGUUGCCAGCGGGUUAUGCCGGGGACUCGUAGGAGACUGCCGGGGUCAACUCGGAGGAAGGUGGGGAUGACGUCAAGUCAUCAUGCCCCUUAUGUCCAGGGCUUCACACAUGCUACAAUGGCCGGUACAAAGGGCUGCGAUGCCGUGAGGUGGAGCGAAUCCUUGUAAAGCCGGUCUCAGUUCGGAUCGG
rnacentral:rRNA from 1 species